CCGUAUGUGCUGGAGAGUCUGAAACUGAAUAUCAUAUUUGGUAUAGGGGAAGCGUCUUGCAAAUAGGAAGCAGGACUGUUCUUUUUGGAAUUCCCAUUGCUUAUGAGGUGUGGGCUAAUGAUGGUCCCAGAUAAUUGGUGAAGCUUUCAUCCAUUUGGAGAACUCAUUCCCCCUCUGCAGCACAGUAUCUUUUGAUGCUUAUGGCUACAGAACCAGCAGAUUUCCUCACACUGAUCCAGAAUAGGAGCAAACUUUAAUCCAGACAGUUUUGACAGUGGUGUCACUCAAGCUUAGGAUCUGCGCUAUUGUUUUCAUCUUAUCCAGGUGGGUCCUUUGUCUGGUACCAAUUAGAGACAUCAAAAUUGUAGUGGAGGUACUUCGACUCAGUAUUGAGACAUGAAUAUAUCUAUGAGGUUGCAUUUGUGUACAGUACACUACUGUGAAUUUUGUGUGCAAUGUGUUGCUCCGUUGUCAUUUUUAUGCAUAUUGUCAAUCGUUUUCUUCUAGUUCCAUAGCUAUGUACAUUUUCAUCUUCAAAUUAUUGAAUUGCUCUUGUACUCAACUUGACUACGAUUGGAAAUGCUUUCUACAGGUAGUGCAAAUAAGGUUAGUCUGGUUACAUGCCGUGCGAUCUGGACAACAACUUUAAAUCUGUAAAAGCUGGAAGUAAUCCCCUUGAUCAGGCGUUCUACUCUAUGCGGCCCUUGCAAUAUCAGAUUGUGGACUGAAGAAAUAUUUCAUAUUUAAGUUGACCUAGGAGAACUUCUGCAGGAUGGUAAUGGCCCGAAUAUGCAUAGUUCUGGGGUUUUCAGGCAUCUAAAUAGUCUCUGUGAGAAUAGCUUUGUGUGUUUGGCAGUGG
rnacentral:lncRNA from 1 species